rnacentral:rRNA from 1 species
CGGGGAAUUUUGGACAAUGGGCGCAAGCCUGAUCCAGCCAUGCCGCGUGCGGGAAGAAGGCCUUCGGGUUGUAAACCGCUCUUGUCAGGGAAGAAACGCUCUGGGCUAAUACCCUGGGGUAAUGACGGUACCUGAAGAAUAAGCACCGGCUAACUACGUGCCAGCAGCCGCGGUAAUACGUAGGGUGCAAGCGUUAAUCGGAAUUACUGGGCGUAAAGCGUGCGCAGGCGGUUAUGCAAGACAGAUGUGAAAUCCCCGGGCUCAACCUGGGAACUGCAUUUGUGACUGUAUAGCUAGAGUACGGUAGAGGGGGAUGGAAUUCCGCGUGUAGCAGUGAAAUGCGUAGAUAUGCGGAGGAACACCGAUGGCGAAGGCAAUCCCCUGGACCUGUACUGACGCUCAG